UACGAAGGGGGCUAGCGUUGCUCGGAAUUACUGGGCGUAAGGGCGCGUAGGCGGACAGUUUAGCCAGAGGUGAAAGCCCAGGGCUCAACCUUGGAACUGCCUUUGAUACUGGCUGUCUUGAGUUCGGGAGAGGUGAGUGGAAUGCCGAGUGUAGAGGUGAAAUUCGUAGAUAUUCGGCGGAACACCAGUGGCGAAGGCGACUCACUGGCCCGAUACUGACGCUGAGGCGCGAAAGCGUGGGGAGCAAACAGG
rnacentral:rRNA from 1 species